GGGUGAGUAACACGUGGGUAACCUACCUAUAAGACUGGAAUAACUCCGGGAAACCGGGGCUAAUGCCGGAUAACAUUUAGAACCGCAUGGUUCUAAAGUGAAAGAUGGUUUUGCUAUCACUUAUAGAUGGACCCGCGCCGUAUUAGCUAGUUGGUAAGGUAACGGCUUACCAAGGCAACGAUACGUAGCCGACCUGAGAGGGUGAUCGGCCACACUGGAAYUGAGACACGGUCCAGACUCCUACGGGAGGCAGCAGUAGGGAAUCUUCCGCAAUGGGCGAAAGCCUGACGGAGCAACGCCGCGUGAGUGAUGAAGGUCUUCGGAUCGUAAAACUCUGUUAUUAGGGAAGAACAAAUGUGUAAGUAACUGUGCACGUCUUGACGGUACCUAAUCAGAAAGCCACGGCUAACUACGUGCCAGCAGCCGCGGUAAUACGUAGGUGGCAAGCGUUAUCCGGAAUUAUUGGGCGUAAAGCGCGCGUAGGCGGUUUCUUAAGUCUGAUGUGAAAGCCCACGGCUCAACCGUGGAGGGUCAUUGGAAACUGGGAAACUUGAGUGCAGAAGAGGAAAGUGGAAUUCCAUGUGUAGCGGUGAAAUGCGCAGAGAUAUGGAGGAACACCAGUGGCGAAGGCGACUUUCUGGUCUGUAACUGACGCUGAUGUGCGAAAGCGUGGGGAUCAAACAGGAUUAGAUACCCUGGUAGUCCACGCCGUAAAC
rnacentral:rRNA from 1 species